ensembl:snRNA U6 U6 spliceosomal RNA
GUGCUCCCUUCCAUAACAUAUAUACUAAAUAUUGUAAUGAUAUAGAGAAGAUUAGAAUGACCCCUGCUUAUGGAUAACACACAACCUUGUGAAGCGUUCCACUUUUUU